rnacentral:lncRNA from 1 species
UUAUCGUGAUCAAGAGUGUGUGAAGCUUUUGUAGGUGAAGCGUUUGUGUUGAAGCUUUGUAGGUGAAGCUUUUAUGGGUGAAGCUUUUGUGGGUGAAACUUUUGUAGGUGAAGCUUUUGCGAUGGGUGUAGCUUUUGUGAUGGGUGAAGCUUUGGUGUUGAAGCUUUGUAGGUGAAGCUUUGGUGUUGAAGCUUUUGGAGGUGAAGCUUUGAAGUUGAAGCUUUUGAAGUUGAAGCUUUGUAGGUGAAGCUUUGGUGUUGAAGCUUUUGUAGGUGAAGCUUUGAAGUUGAAGCUUUGUAGGUGAAACUUUGGAGUUGAAGCUUUUGUUGGGUACCAUGAACUGAUUUUGCUUCACACUAUCUUGAUCAAUAGUGUGUGAAGCUUUUGAGAAUUGUAGUUGCCCUCCAUUUGUUGAAGUUGUUGAAUUUCCCAAUUUCCUUUUUUUUAUUUUUUAUUUUUUAUUUUUUUGGGAAAACUAGAAAUUUGUUGAAUUUCCCAAUUUUUUUUUUUUGGGAAAAUUAGAAAUUUGAAAAUGUGGGAGAGACAACAUAUACAAAUUUUGCUUCCACACUGUUGAGCAAGAGAUUGUGAUGCAAGCCACACCUUGUAGUAGUCGAAGGUUUGGAUGAACCAUAUAAAUUGAAUUUGCUUUGAAUAGUCUUGAUCAAGAGUGUGUGAAGCUUUCUACGAGUUGUAGUUGCCCUUCAUUGAUGAAGCUUUUGUUGGCACCAUAAAUUGGUUUUGCUUCACCCUGUCUUGAUCAAGAGUGUGUGAAGCUUUUGAGAAUUGUGGUUGACCUCAAUUGAUGAAGCUCUUGUUGGCACCAUAAAUUGGUUUUGCUUUGCACUGUCUUGAUCAAGAGUGUGUGAAGCUUUUGAGAAUUGUGGUUGAACUCCUUUGAUGAAGCUCUUGUUGGCUCCAUAAAUUGGUUUUGCUUCACACUGUCUUGAUCAAGAGUGUGUGAAGCUUUUGAGAAUUGUGGUUGACCUUCAUUGUUGAAGCUCUUGUUGGCACCAUAAAUUGAUUUUGCUUCACACUGUCUUGAUCAAGAGUGUGUGAAGCUUUU